rnacentral:rRNA from 1 species
CCUACGGGUGGCAGCAGUGAGGAAUAUUGGUCAAUGGCCGUAAGGCUGAACCAGCCAAGUAGCGUGAGGGAAGACUGCCCUAUGGGUUGUAAACCUCGUUUAUGCGGGGGUAAAGGUGUCCACGUGUGGAUGUUUGCAGGUACCGCAUGAAUACGGACAGGCGAAUUCCGCGCCAGCAGCCGCGGUAAUACGGAGGGUCCGGGCUUUAUCCGGUUUUAUUGGGUGUAAAGGGAGCGUAGGCCGGCCUUUAAGCGUGCCGUGAAAUUUUGUGGCUCAACCAUGGGAGUGCGGCGUAAACUGGAGACCUUGAGUGCGCGGAAGGCAGGCGGAAUUCGUGGUGUAGCGGUGAAAUGCUUAGAUAUCACGAAGAACCCCGAUUGCGAAGGCAGCCUGCCGCAGCGUUACUGACGCUGAAGCUCGAAAGCGCGGGUAUCGAACAGGAUUAGAUACCCCAGUAGUC